rnacentral:rRNA from 1 species
GACGAACGCUGGCGGCGUGCUUAACACAUGCAAGUCGAACGGAAAGGCCCUGCUUUUGUGGGGUGCUCGAGUGGCGAACGGGUGAGUAACACGUGAGUAACCUGCCCUUGACUUUGGGAUAACUUCAGGAAACUGGGGCUAAUACCGGAUAGGAGCUCCUGCUGCAUGGUGGGGGUUGGAAAGUUUCGGCGGUUGGGGAUGGACUCGCGGCUUAUCAGCUUGUUGGUGGGGUAGUGGCUUACCAAGGCUUUGACGGGUAGCCGGCCUGAGAGGGUGACCGGCCACAUGGGGACUGAGAUACGGCCCAGACUCCUACGGGAGGCAGCAGUGGGGAAUAUUGCACAAUGGGCGGAAGCCUGAUGCAGCAACGCCGCGUGCGGGAUGACGGCUUUCGGGUUGUAAACCGCUUUCGCCUGUGACGAAGCGUGAGUGACGGUAAUGGGUAAAGAAGCACCGGCUAACUACGUG